rnacentral:rRNA from 1 species
UACAGAGGUCCCAAGCGUUGUUCGGAUUCAUUGGGCGUAAAGGGUGCGUAGGUGGCGCCGUAAGUCGGGUGUGAAAUUUCGGAGCUUAACUCCGAAACUGCAUUCGAUACUGCGGUGCUUGAGGACUGGAGAGGAGACUGGAAUUCAUGGUGUAGCAGUGAAAUGCGUAGAGAUCAUGAGGAACACCGGUGGCGAAGGCGGGUCUCUGGGCCGUAACUGACGCUGAGGCGCGAAAGCCAGGGGAGCAAACGGG